rnacentral:sRNA from 1 species
CGAGUUGGUCCGGACCUCGGUGGGUUACCUUUCAGUCACUCCCCCCAUCGAGACCAACACGACCGCUC